rnacentral:rRNA from 1 species
AAGUCAGCGGUCAAAGUUCCGGGCUCAACCCGGUGUCGCCGUUGAAACUGGCGUGCUCGAGUGCGUGCGAGGAAGGCGGAAUGCGUUGUGUAGCGGUGAAAUGCAAAGAUAUGACGCAGAACUCCGAUUGCGAAGGCAGCUUUCCAGCGCGCUACUGACGCUGAGGCACGAAAGCGUGGGGAUCGAACAGGAUUAGAUACCCUGGUAGUCCACACUGUAAACGAUGAUUGCUAGGUGUGGGGGGUCUGACCCCCUCCGUGCCGGAGUUAACGCAAUAAGCAAUCCACCUGGGGAGUACGGCCGCAAGGUUGAAACUCAAAGGAAUUGACGGGGGCCCGCACAAGCAGUGGAUUAUGUGGUUUAAUUCGAAGCAGCGCGAAGAACCUUACCUAGACUUGACAUGUCCUGAAUUACCAGUAAUGUGGGAAGUUCCUUCCGGAACAGGAACACAGGUGGUGCAUGGUUGUCGUCAGCUCGUGUCGUGAGAUGUUGGGUUAAGUCCCGCAACGAGCGCAACCCUUAUUGUUAGUUGGUACCAUUAAGUUGACCACUCUAGCGAGACUGCCCGGGUUAACCGGGAGGAAGGUGGGGAUGACGUCAAAUCAUCAUGCCCCUUAUGUCUAGGGCUACACACGUGCUACAAUGGCCGGUACAAAGAGAUGCUAAACCGUGAGGUGGAGCUAAACUAUAAAACCGGUCUCAGUUCGGAUUGUAGGCUGAAACUCGCCUACAUGAAGCUGGAGUUGCUAGUAAUCGCGAAUCAGAAUGUCGCGGUGAAUACGCUCCCGGGCCUUGCACACACCGCCCGUCA